CCUACGGGAGGCAGCAGUGGGGAAUAUUGCGCAAUGGGCGAAAGCCUGAUGGAGCAACGCCGCGUGCAGGAUGAAGGCCUUCGGGUUGUAAACUGCUUUUAUAAGCGAGAAAUAUGAUGGUAACUUAUGAAUAAGGAUCGUCUAACUACGUGCCAGCAGCCGCGGUCAUACGUAGGAUCCGAGCAUUAUCCGGAGUGACUGGGUGUAAAGAGUUGCGUAGGUGGCAUAAUAAGUAGCUAGUGAAAUCUGGUGGCUCAACCAUUCAGACUAUUAGCUAAACUGUUAAGCUCGAGACCGUUAGGGGUAACUGGAAUUUCUAGUGUAGGAGUGAAAUCCGUAGAUAUUAGAAGGAACACCAAUAGCGUAGGCAGGUUGCUGGGACGGUUCUGACACUAAGGCACGAAAGCGUAGGGAGCAAACGGGAUUAGAUACCCCUGUAGUC
rnacentral:rRNA from 1 species